AAAGGCGACGACGGGUAGCCGGCCUGAGAGGGCGACCGGCCACACUGGGACUGAGACACGGCCCAGACUCCUACGGGAGGCAGCAGUGGGGAAUAUUGCACAAUGGGCGAAAGCCUGAUGCAGCGACGCCGCGUGAGGGAUGACGGCCUUCGGGUUGUAAACCUCUUUCAGCAGGGAAGAAGCGAAAGUGACGGUACCUGCAGAAGAAGCGCCGGCUAACUACGUGCCAGCAGCCGCGGUAAUACGUAGGGCGCGAGCGUUGUCCGGAAUUAUUGGGCGUAAAGAGCUCGUAGGCGGUCUGUCGCGUCGGAUGUGAAAGCCCGGGGCUUAACCCCGGGUCUGCAUUCGAUACGGGCAGACUAGAGUGUGGUAGGGGAGAUCGGAAUUCCUGGUGUAGCGGUGAAAUGCGCAGAUAUCAGGAGGAACACCGGUGGCGAAGGCGGAUCUCUGGGCCAUUACUGACGCUGAGGAGCGAAAGCGUGGGGAGCGAACAGGAUUAGAUACCCUGGUAGUCCACGCCGUAAACGGUGGGAACUAGGUGUUGGCGACAUUCCACGUCGUCGGUGCCGCAGCUAGAGGGUUGUAAGGCUUC
rnacentral:rRNA from 1 species